rnacentral:rRNA from 1 species
ACGUCAAAUCAUCAUGCCCCUUAUGACCUGGGCUACACACGUGCUACAAUGGCCACCACAACGAGGAACGAAGCCGUAAGGCGGAGGGAAUCUAAAAAAGUGGUCCCAGUUCGGAUUGUGGGCUGCAACCCGCCCACAUGAAGUCGGAGUUGCUAGUAAUCGCGGAUCAGCAUGCCGCGGUGAAUACGUUCCCGGGCCUU